ACUUUCCACAACGUGCAGAAGGUGCAUGUUGUGUUAUACAACUUUCAACAACGUGCAUUUAGUGCUCGUUGUGGAAAUGGAAUUUUGGGGAAGUUCUAACAACGCACCUGUGCGUGUUGUUGUAUAUGGAGUUCAACAACAUGCAACGCAUAUUGUCAAAACUAUAUCAGUUUACUACAGUAAAAAAAUUCCUGAAAAAACUAGCCGAAUUUUUUUGUGGGAAAAACUCCCGCACUGUUCCACUAAAUAUUUCAGUCUCCCUCUCAAAUGUUUUAUCGUCUCCUCUCUUUCUUUGGUCUUUCUCUUUAUCUUCUAAACUCUCAUUUCUUCUCUCUCCAUCUCUUGCGCUGGCCUUCUAUGUCGCUCCUCUCUCACAAUCUGGUUUUUUGUUUGUCGUUGGCUCUCUCUCUCUCCCAGCCUCUUCCUCCAUUCCCGAGUAGAUUAUCCAACACUCUCAGCCUCUUUAUGACAGGGUUAAACUAUUUGGGUAGUGAAUUGUAAGUCAGAACAAAUCGAUUUCAAAACUCGUCAUCUCUAUGGAACCGUCUCUAGGAACAAAUCUCCAAGUACUCCUUCGAUACUCUCCUCUACAGAAAUUUGGUGAUUUGGCAUCUAUUGAUAGUUGGCCUAUGUAGGCUUGUGUUUGGUUUGUUUAGAACCUACCAGAGUCCGCUAGGGACCUCCUGCCCAAGUUUUUGAAGCACAAUACCCUCUCCAGCUUUGUUAGGCAAUUGAACACCUAUGAAAUUCAAGAGAGGAAAUUCAUAAGAGAAAAAGAAUCAUUUUGCUGGAUAUACUGAUUCAUGUAAGAAUUUGUUUGUCUCAAUUGUCAACUAAUUCACACACAGAUGGCUGCCCUGCUUGCUAUUGAUCUUGAGAAGAUAUUUAAGAGGGUGAAAAAAGCUUGGAAGCAUGGUAAGGAUCAGCUUGGUAGAUUAUGUGAUGAAGAGUUUGUUGAUAUUGGUACAAGUGAAAGAACUAUAAAGGAGAAGCUUAAGUGUACCUUAUUUAGUGAUUAUGAAGGUAUACAUUUAUAUAUGUAGAACUUGACUUGUAGGAUAAUCAUGUAUAUCAAUUUGGUUUAGGUUUAUUCUUGUAAUUAGGCAUGUAGUUAGAAGUCCUAGAAUACUUCAAUCUUCUAGAUUUUAUUUUAUUUUAUUGUACUUUUGAUAUUGUAUGCUUUUGAAUAUUAAUAAGUAAUUGAUACGGUUUUUUGUUGAUGGAAAGGCAACAAAAAAUGAAACGGAUUAUGUAUUUUUCAUGCAAUAAGGUGAUUAUAGCGAUUGGAAAUAAUUAUAACAUAAUAAUAUUUAAUAUCACAACGUGCAAAGGCUGUUGUUAAAAAGUUAACAACAACGUGCAUAUGAACGUUGUCAAUUAGGUAUUCAACAACACGUUGAACAAGUUGUUGUCAGCCUCUUCCACAACAUGCGUGCGUUGCAUUUACUGGUGUUGACAACGAGCACUAAUAUCAACAACAACAUGCGAAGCGUGUUGUUGAAAGCUGUGAACUUUUUAACGACAUCGGCUUCAACAACGUGCACCGCAUGUUGUUAAUACCCUUCAACAACGCACAAUGUGUGUUGUUGAAUGACUUUUUUCUU